UACGGAGGGGGCUAGCGUUGUUCGGAUUCAUUGGGCGUAAAGGGUGCGUAGGUGGCGCCGUAAGUCGGGUGUGAAAUUUCGGAGCUUAACUCCGAAACUGCAUUCGAUACUGCGGUGCUUGAGGACUGGAGAGGAGACUGGAAUUCAUGGUGUAGCAGUGAAAUGCGUAGAGAUCAUGAGGAAGACCAGUGGCGAAGGCGGGUCUCUGGACAGUUCCUGACACUGAGGCACGAAGGCCAGGGGAGCAAACGGG
rnacentral:rRNA from 1 species